CGAGGCGGACAUAUAUACCGCCGACACCGCCUCUCUCCUUCCUUUUGCUGAGCGGGCCCGGGCGGGGAGGUGGCGGUGCGGCUGGCCAUGAUACAUCAAGCAAGUUCUUCCUUCACUGGUAACUAUAAAACUGCAGACCUGAUGCCACUUGCUAAGGAUUUAAUGGAGGAAGUUGGAAGCCCCAUAGAAGGAAGGUUCUCUGGCCUGAAAGGUGAAUCCUGAUGAUGAAAGGCUGUGUUAAACAGAUUGGCUUUGGAUGACCACCUGCCUGAUCUGUGGAGAUGAUGAUUCAACUUGAACACAGUUCCAUAUUGUUUGCAGGGAGAGUAGAGCACAGGACACUUCACACAAAAGGCUUCCAAGGGGUGCUUGGGUAUCCAGACUGGGGUGACUUGGAUGUAUGGAGUGCUGCUAUUAGCAGUGGUCCUGGCCCUGUCUUGAAUAAACUUGGCAUUAAUAUUAGAAGAUGACGGAUGAUCAGGACAGCAUUUCAAGUGAGAGAACUGGAGCACACACCUGGAAAAAAGGAUCACUUUGCUGAGAGUAAAGCUGGUCAAACAUUUUAUGAAGCAAUCAGCCCACUGCCUGCCUGAGAGGGAGCAAGAUUGAUUUGAAUGGACAGUUGAGGAACCAGAAAGUGUGAGCAGUCUCUGGAUACACAUUCUGAUGUCUUAAGUUUUGCCCCCAGAAGACAGUGCCCUUGCUUCUGAGGUGCUUGGGCAUAGCCAUGGAGGGGCUGGAGUCAAUCCUGCAGCAGUGGGUGUGUCAAGCUGAAGGGAAGCAGUCUCUCUGCCACCCCAUUGCCUACCAGGACCAUUUAAGGGGCUUGCAAGCAUGUUGAAAGGGUGGAUGCAGCAGUGCCAGGAUUCUUGCUGUGUUCUACCCUUGCCACAAUAGGUGACGUCUUCUGGAUGAAGAGUCCUCUACAAAUUUGUGCAGAAAAGAUUUAAGUUCAGAAUGUCUCGCAGAAACAUGUUACAAGUGGGGCAACCUUGACACACACUUCGGUCUCUUCUUAAAUAUCCAAUUAAGAAACUAGAUCUGCUCUGAACCUGAACUUUUUUGCCAUAUGUGCUUUUUAACCAGCACUAAGUAGACUUUAGCAGUAAAAUAACAGCUGUCUAAAAUGUGCCAAAAUAAACUCAUCAGAAAUGA